UGACGUCAAUGGAUUCCUACAUGAUCGGACGGUGAGAGUCGGGUGCUUCGAUCCGUCGUGUCAAGCUGCCACUGAGAGGAAUCACAUUUGUGUACUUUGUUGCGUACAUGCAUACUUCAGGUAAUUCACAGUAACUUUAAACAUACUGCAUAAACACGGACGUGGACAAAAGAUCUUCCAUUUGAACUUUUAUUAGUUUUACAGUAAGUGCCACUUCCUCAAUGCUCAAUCAUAUGUAUGUAUAUCUUCAUAUUAACGAGUUCAUAGAACAUCUCAAUCGUGAGCAUGGAAAAGCAUUAUGGAUUUAAUGCAGACAAACAUGUAUUUGUAACGUAGAAGUGUUAAAAACUACUGCAACAAAGUGAAGCACAAAUCAGACAGUCCCAUUGGAGGAGUCAGUGGGUCCCUGGGGAGGUGAGAAAGGGACAGCGGGAGGGACAGACAGAGGGAGGGACAGACAGACAGCCCUUUCUCAGAGCACUCUGUGAAUGUGGGUGCGGAACAGCGGUGAUGAACACCAUCCAUUCAGAUGGACGCGGAUGUGACGGAGCUCUCCUCCAUCAUGCGAGGACACGACCGGCGAAACUGACCCAGGGUCAGCACACACGAGGGGGGCUAUCAGCAUGACGAAACGGCACGGUCAGCGCGUGCAGGCUGCCUACGAGUCGUUGA